rnacentral:rRNA from 1 species
GACGAACGCUGGCGGCGUGCUUAACACAUGCAAGUCGAACGGAAAGGCCCUGCUUUUGUGGUGUGCUCGAGUGGCGAACGGGUGAGUAACACGUGAGUAACCUGCCCUUGACUUUGGGAUAACUUCAGGAAACUGGGGCUAAUACCGGAUAGGAGCUCCUGCUGCAUGGGGGUGGUUGGAAAGUUUCGGCGGUUGGGGAUGGACUCGCGGCUUAUCAGCUUGUUGGUGGGGUAGUGGCUUACCAAGGCUUUGACGGGUAGCCGGCCUGAGAGGGUGACCGGACACAUUGGGACUGAGAUACGGCCCAGACUCCUACGGGAGGCAGCAGUGGGGAAUAUUGCACAAUGGGCGGAAGCCUGAUGCAGCAACGCCGCGUGCGGGAUGACGGCCUUCGGGUUGUAAACCGCUUUCGCCUGUGACGAAGCGUGAGUGACGGUAAUGGGUAAAGAAGCACCGGCUAACUACGUG